rnacentral:rRNA from 1 species
UACGAAGGUGGCAAGCGUUGUUCGGAUUUACUGGGCGUACAGGGAGCGUAGGCGGUUGGAUAAGCCCUCCGUGAAAUCUCCAGGCUUAACCCGGAGAGUGCAGAGGGGACUGUUCAGCUAGAGGAUGGGAGAGGAGCGCGGAAUUCCCGGUGUAGCGGUGAAAUGCGUAGAGAUCGGGAGGAAGGCCGGUGGCGAAGGCGGCGCUCUGGAACAUUUCUGACGCUGAGGCUCGAAAGCGUGGGGAGCAAACAGG